rnacentral:misc_RNA from 1 species
AAUCCUCAAGCUUGGAUGGUUUUCCGUCUUAAGCUUGGUAUUGGGCUUUGCUGUGCCCUUUUGUUGGGAACAGCUGGCCUUAAAGAUAUUAGCUGAUCCUCAUGUGGUGUGGAAUUGGUUCUGCUCAGCGUGAUAAUAAUCUUGACCGCUCGAGUGCCAUCUUUUCAGAUGGCCAACUCUCAUCUGGGAUUGCUUCUAAUUCGGCUUUGACAGAUUCUAAUCUGUUUUGCCUUCUG